rnacentral:rRNA from 1 species
GCUAAAUGGACUCAUGGCGGACGGGUGAGUAACGCGUAAAGAACUUGCCCUUUAGACUGGGAUAACAGAGGGAAACUUCUGAUAAUACUGGAUAAGUUAGUAUAUCGCAUGAUAUGCAAAUGAAAGCUACGGCACUAAAGGAGAGCUUUGCGUCCUAUUAGCUAGUUGGUAAGGUAAGAGCUUACCAAGGCGAUGAUAGGUAGCCGGCCUGAGAGGGUGGACGGCCACAAGGGGACUGAGAUACGGCCCUUACUCCUACGGGAGGCAGCAGUGGGGAAUAUUGGACAAUGGAGGGAACUCUGAUCCAGCAAUUCUGUGUGUGUGAAGAAGGUUUUAGGACUGUAAAACACUUUUAGUAGGGAAGAAAAAAAUGACGGUACCUACAGAAGAAGCAACGGCUAAAUACGUGCCAGCAGCCGCGGUAAUACGUAUGUUGCGAGCGUUAUCCGGAAUUAUUGGGCUUAAAGGGCAUCUAGGCGGUAAGACAAGUUGAAGGUGAAAACCUGUGGCUCAACCAUAGGCUUGCCUACAAAACUGUUGAACUAGAGUACUGGAAAGGUGGGUGGAACUACACGAGUAGAGGUGAAAUUCGUAGAUAUGUGUAGGAAUGCCGAUGAUGAAGAUAACUCACUGGACAGAAACUGA